UGGCACAUGGCAGUCAAUCGCUUCUCUUCAAUCAGAUUCAAUUGGUUAUAAUGACUCUGAACCCAUUCAGCAUCAGUCAACUAGGGACUUGAGGGUAUCAUUCUUCUUUUUUUCUCUUUGAAAUUUUUUUCCUGAUUUUUGCUUUUAUUUUGAUUUUUCACCCUCUUUUUUUUUUUUUUUUUUACAUUACAUUUGUAAUGCCCCAGUUUGACUGUUGCUGGGUUCUUGAGACGCAGCCGAAUGAUCUGCUUUUUAUUGCUCAAGUGCUCGGGUAAUCUCAUCAGGAAUCCCCUUCAACAUCAUCUUCCUCUGCCUCGAAUACAAAGAGCUCAAGAUUGGGAGAUGGCGUUGGAUCAUUAUGUUCAAUGGGUUUAGA
rnacentral:lncRNA from 1 species